rnacentral:rRNA from 1 species
UACGUAGGGUGCGAGCGUUAAUCGGAAUUACUGGGCGUAAAGCGUGCGCAGGCGGUUGUGCAAGACAGAUGUGAAAUCCCCGGGCUCAACCUGGGAACUGCAUUUGUGACUGCACGGCUAGAGUGUGUCAGAGGGGGGUAGAAUUCCACGUGUAGCAGUGAAAUGCGUAGAUAUGUGGAGGAAUACCGAUGGCGAAGGCAGCCCCCUGGGAUAACACUGACGCUCAUGCACGAAAGCGUGGGGAGCAAACGGG